UGGCUGUCAAUAGGUGGCUGUGAAUAAGUGGCUGUACGAUGUCCACCAGGUAGUGCAAGUGUCUUCAGGGACGCUUAACGGCCAUUGUGUUCCAAGACGCAGCAGGAAAUGGGUUGUUGGUUGUGACGUUUCUCACGAUGAAAAUUAAAAGGUGAUUUAGCAUGUAGAAACCAAUUUGCCAAAUCAUUCAACUCAGACUUGGAAGUGCCUGUACAUUUCCGAAAUGGCGUGCCUCGUGUGUCUCGCUACCCGUUCUUAGGCGUACGUCUCAUCCCCUGCAACAGCAAAAAGUAUAACAAACACUUCUUCAACGCUGUUGGUUACCUUGUUGCAGCCACAUGGUGAAAGGUUUGAUGAAGACAGAUUGAACCACUGUAUGCAGCAUGCAGUUGCAGUGUAAUCCAGAAGUUUCUGUGCUGUUGUAGCUGUUCCAUCUGGGUUCCUGACUUCAAAAUUUUUGUGUUGUCGUUUUUAUCCAUGCCAUGAAAUUGCUCUGUGUUAACUGUGUGUUGACUUAAAAGUUUGAUCUGUUGUCUUUCGAGUUUUCAUUCAA
rnacentral:lncRNA from 1 species